GAUGAACGCUGGCGGCGUGCCUAAUACAUGCAAGCCGAGCGAACAGAUGAGGAGCUUGCUCCUCUGACGUUAGCGGCGGACGGGUGAGUAACACGUGGAUAACCUACCUAUAAGACUGGGAUAACUUCGGGAAACCGGAGCUAAUACCGGAUAAUAUAUUGAACCGCAUGGUUCAAUAGUGAAAGACGGUUUUGCUGUCACUUAUAGAUGGAUCCGCGCCGCAUUAGCUAGUUGGUAAGGUAACGGCUUACCAAGGCGACGAUGCGUAGCCGACCUGAGAGGGUGAUCGGCCACACUGGAACUGAGACACGGUCCAGACUCCUACGGGAGGCAGCAGUAGGGAAUCUUCCGCAAUGGGCGAAAGCCUGACGGAGCAACGCCGCGUGAGUGAUGAAGGUCUUCGGAUCGUAAAACUCUGUUAUUAGGGAAGAACAAAUGUGUAAGUAACUAUGCACGUCUUGACGGUACCUAAUCAGAAAGCCACGGCUAACUACGUG
rnacentral:rRNA from 1 species